rnacentral:rRNA from 1 species
GGGGAAUUUUGGACAAUGGGCGCAAGCCUGAUCCAGCCAUGCCGCGUGUCUGAAGAAGGCCUUCGGGUUGUAAAGGACUUUUGUCAGGGAAGAAAAGGCUGUUGCUAAUAUCAGCGGCUGAUGACGGUACCUGAAGAAUAAGCACCGGCUAACUACGUGCCAGCAGCCGCGGUAAUACGUAGGGUGUGAGCGUUAAUCGGAAUUACUGGGCGUAAAGCGGGCGCAGACGGUUACUUAAGCAGGAUGUGAAAUCCCCGGGCUCAACCCGGGAACUGCGUUCUGAACUGGGUGACUCGAGUGUGUCAGAGGGAGGUAGAAUUCCACGUGUAGCAGUGAAAUGCGUAGAGAUGUGGAGGAAUACCGAUGGCGAAGGCAGCCUCCUGGGACAACACUGACGUUCAUGCCCGAAAGCGUGGGUAGCAAACAGGAUUAGAUACCCUGGUAGUCCACGCCCUAAACGAUGUCAAUUAGCUGUUGGGCAACCUGAUUGCUUGGUAGCGUAGCUAACGCGUGAAAUUGACCGCCUGGGGAGUACGGUCGCAAGAUUA